rnacentral:lncRNA from 1 species
UGAGAUUGGUGCCCGUCAUUUUUAGCUGGAAGGUGACUCCUCAACUAUUGUUGCAUGGGUUAUUCUAGUUCUCAUCCCUGUCCCAGUCAGCAUUUGUAUACCUAUCUUGCAAGAUCUGUGGGAUUGGAAGUCUCAAUGCAGUCUUUUCUAAGGUAUCUCAACACUUUCCGAGAAGGUAAUAGGGCUGCUAACUACGCGGCAAAAUUAGUGCAGCAGGGG